rnacentral:rRNA from 1 species
AUUGAACGCUGGCGGCAGGCCUAACACAUGCAAGUCGUGCGAGCGGCGGACGGGUGAGUAAUGUAUGGGGAACUGCCUGAUGGAGGGGGAUAACUACUGGAAACGGUAGCUAAUACCGCAUACCAUCAGAUGUACCCAUAUGGGAUUAGCUAGUUGGUGUGGUAACGGCUGACCUAGGCGACGAUCCCUAGCUGGUCUGAGAGGAUGAUCAGCCACACUGGGACUGAGACACGGCCCAGACUCCUACGGGCGUCAGCAGUGGGGAAUAUUGCACAAAGGGCGCAAGCCUGAUGCAGCCAUGCCGCGUGUAUGAAGAAGGCCUUCGGGUUGUAAAGUACUUUGAGUCGGGAGGCGUUACCGACAGAAGAAGCACCGGCUAACUCCGUGCCAGCAGCCGCGGUAAUUC